rnacentral:misc_RNA from 1 species
GAAAUGCGAUAAGUAAUGUGAAUUGCAGAAUUCAGUGAAUCAUCGAAUCUUUGAACGCACAUUGCGCCCGCCAGCAUUCUGGCGGGCAUGCCUGUCCGAGCGUCAUUUCAACCCUCAGGCUCCCGCGCCUGGCGUUGGGGAUCGGCCUUCACCGGCCGGCCCCGAAAUACAGUGGCGGCCCCGCCGUAGACCUCCUCUGCGUAGUAGCACACACCUCGCAGCCUGGGAGCGCGGCGGCGGCCACGCCGGAAAACCCCCGACUUCUGAAAGUUGACCUCGGAUCAGGUAGGAAUACCCGCUGAACUUAA